UGCCGGCGAGCGGCGGACGGGUGAGUAAUACGUAAGAACUUGCCGUAUAGAUGGGGACAACCAAUGGAAACGUUGGCUAAUACCGAAUACACUCGCGAGAGGAAAGGCGCCUAGCAAUAGGUGUCGCUAUAUGAGAGGCUUUCGUCCGAUUAGCUAGUUGGUGGGGUAAGAGCUCACCAAGGCGAUGAUCGGUAACUGGUCUGAGAGGACGACCAGUCACACUGGGACUGAGACACGGCCCAGACUCCUACGGGAGGCAGCAGUGGGGAAUAUUGGACAAUGGGGGAAACCCUGAUCCAGCGAUGCCGCGUGGGUGAAGAAGGCCUUCGGGUUGUAAAGCCCUUUAAGCUGGGAAGAAGCUAGUAGUGCGAAUACCAUUAUUAGUUGACGGUACCGGCAGAAUAAGCGCCGGCAAACUCUGUGCCAGCAGCCGCGGUAAUA
rnacentral:rRNA from 1 species